GGACCGGUGUCUACCGCAACACUGGCCAGAUGGGUCCGCUGGCUAUUGUCUUUAGCGGGCGUCGAACCUUGUUUCGGAGCCCACUCGGUCAGGGAGCGGCGGCCUCACAAACCUUUUCGGCCGACGCUUCCCUAGCCGACAUUAUACGCUGCGCGGACUGAGCGCGAGAGAGUACGUUUAGAACAUUCUAUUUCGACAAACAUCUCAUGCUUCCUUCACAUUGG